AGGCCCACACUGAGCUUUCACAUUGGUAGCAAGGUUUUUAUGGGUGCCUGGAAACAGGAUUGCACCAUCUCACCUAAAAUGAGCCCCGGACGACCUUGGGCAACAACAAGGAGGACUUUGUUGAUGAGGAGGAGGAGAAUGCACAACAGACAAGCGGAGGUUCCAUUCUUCCCAACAGCCAAGAGCUUUUUUUAACUCCUGGAGCCCAUCCCCUCACAGGACCAAUUAUUGGCGGAGCAUGAUGACGGGGAAGGCACUCUGCUGAAACCUUAUCCGUAAGCACAUCCUCUAUGCUGGGACAGAGACUUUCCCAGAUUACAAGGCAGAAAAAGAAGACUCGGGAGGACAUAUUCAAUGAGUUAAUGUGUGCCUCCGAGACUGACAAGACAGAGCUCAGCGCGUGGAGGAUUGCAUUGUUAGAGAAACUGCACAAUGCCCGUGAGGACAGAAGAGCAUACGGGAAACACAAGUGUGACACGCAGGAUGAGAUGGUGUGGGUUAUGAGGGAGCAAUCAGACAUGUUGAGGCGUCUGGUUGAGGUUCAAGAAAGGCAGCUGGACAUUAGAGUCCUGCUGCAGCCUAUGGUGAACCUGCUGCAUCAUCGCCAAGUUCCACAUCCUUCUGUGCUUGUUUCUCCCUUCCCUCCUCUUCCCACCCCCCAGUGUUAUCAGCCCGUUUUCCCCAGGUUAUCUUCCU